AACGAACGCUGGCGGCAGGCCUAAUACAUGCAAGUCGAACGGUCUCUUCGGAGGCAGUGGCGGACGGGUGAGUAACGCGUGGGAAUAUGCCCUUUGGUACGGAACAACUGAGGGAAACUUCAGCUAAUACCGUAUGUGCCCUUCGGGGAAAGAUUAUCGCCAUUGGAGUAGCCCGCGUUGGAUUAGGUAGUUGGUGGGGUAAAGGCCUACCAAGCCUACGAUCCAUAGCUGGUCUGAGAGGAUGAUCAGCCACACUGGGACUGAGACACGGCCCAGACUCCUACGGGAGGCAGCAGUAGGGAAUCUUGCGCAAUGGGCGAAAGCCUGACGCAGCCAUGCCGCGUGAAUGAUGAAGGUCUUAGGAUUGUAAAAUUCUUUCACCGGGGAAGAUAAUGACGGUACCCGGAGAAGAAGCCCCGGCUAACUUCGUGCCAGCAGCCGCGGUAAUGUACAGUGU
rnacentral:rRNA from 1 species